AGCUGGCAUGGUACUGCCCGUAAACUAUAGUGCCUGAACCAAUGCCUGUGGAAAUCAGCCUUCAGUCACCUUUGGAUCACCCAUACCCAACACCCAUAUUCCAGCCCUGAAAGAGACCCAAGUGCUUUGCUGGACAGAGAGGGUUUGCUGAAUCAGGACCUAAUAGAAUGCAUCAGAACCAGACAUAAAGCAGUUUAUGGGAGCUGGAAACAUGUCCCGGGGAGAAUCAAUCACAAAACCUAUUGUUCUCCCAUCCAAACAUUGACCCAAGAUCUGAGAGGACCACAGCACAAA